UUCAUGUCUAUAAUUUGGAGGGUUUCAUAGCUUUAACGGGAUUUCUAUUCUUGAUUUUCUUCUUCCAAUUUGGGAUUUACUCUUUCCAAUCACUCCUUUGGGUCGAGCUUGGUGAAGAUUUUGUUCGAGCCUAUUUCAGUCGACCUAUCUGAUAUAUGCUGUAUAGAAUGAGAAUUUAAGCAACAACAACAGGCAGCCUAUCAUAGCCAACAACUCAGAGCUCUGGUGGAGGAAGCAGUAGUGGACUUCACAUGCUACAAAGCAAAAAAACUCAUAAUGCUAGCUAUGGUGGUGGUGGUUUACCUGACUUUGGCAGAGGAUUAGGUAGUAGAAACAAGCUGCAAAUGGGAAGUUCUAUGUCUGAUCAAGAACAGGGCGGAAACUCAAGUGGUCAUGGUGGUGAUGCAGGCCAUCUUGGUUUUCAUUUGGUGCAGAGCCACUUUUUCAAAACAAGCUGCUGUUAUCACACAAGAACCUCCGGCACUUCCUCAAAAAAGGCUUGACAUAUUUAUGAUCCAUAAAUCGAGAGGGUAUUCCAAGCCCUUUGACAGCCGAUUGAGACCAGUGUUAAGGACUCUGAACUCUGAUCGCUGGUUUGACACUGUAGCAGUUUCAGCUGAGGAGUAAAUCCAGAUGCGAUGAUCGUAGAAAUGACAUUUGGGAUGCUACAGAUGCGGGUUCUGAUGUCUGGCUGUGGAGAAGCAACGUUAUCUCCUUCAAAGAGAAGUGAAUUCAAAGGAUGUAGUAACACAAAGGGCUAUCAUCUGAAUAGAGAGAAAGAGACGCAGAGGAAGAUGGAAGUGAACGCACAAUAAAAUUCUUUCACUCUUGCUUCUUUUUCCAGCUGCUUCACACACAUUUUCUUUGUAUUCCAUCUUUGCUCUUUUACAUUCAUUUCAUGUAUCUAUAACCACUAUGUCACAUUUUCUUUGUAUUCCAUCUUUGCUCCUUUGCAUUCAUUUCAUGUAUCUAUAACCAAUACAUCAGCUAUUAUUGUUGGGCCGUGGUGG